GAUGAACGCUGGCGGCGUGCCUAAUACAUGCAAGUCGAGCGAACGGACGAGAAGCUUGCUUCUCUGAUGUUAGCGGCGGACGGGUGAGUAACACGUGGAUAACCUACCUAUAAGACUGGGAUAACUUCGGGAAACCGGAGCUAAUACCGGAUAAUAUUUUGAACCGCAUGGUUCAAAAGUGAAAGACGGUCUUGCUGUCACUUAUAGAUGGAUCCGCGCUGCAUUAGCUAGUUGGUAAGGUAACGGCUUACCGAGGCAACGAUGCAUAGCCGACCUGAGAGGGUGAUCGGCCACACUGGAACUGAGACACGGUCCACACUCCUACGGGAGGCAGCAGUAGGGAAUCUUCCGCAAUGGGCGAAAGCCUGACGGAGCAACGCCGCGUGAGUGAUGAAGGUCUUCGGAUCGUAAAACUCUGUUACUAGGGAAGAACAUAUGUGUAAGUAACUGUGCACAUCUUGACGGUACCUAAUCAGAAAGCCACGGCUAACUACGUG
rnacentral:rRNA from 1 species